UACGAAGGGUGCAAACGUUGCUCGGAAUUAUUGGGCGUAAAGCGCACGUAGGCGGCUUAGCAAGUCCCAUGUGAAAUCCCACGGCUUAACCGUGGAAGUGCAUGGGAAACUGCUGAGCUUGAGUACUUAAGAGGAUCGCGGAAUUCCCGGUGUAGAGGUGAAAUUCGUAGAUAUCAGGAGGAACACCUGUGGCGAAAGCGGCUCACUGGACCAUAACUGACGCUGAUGCACGAAAGCUAGGGGAGCAAACAGG
rnacentral:rRNA from 1 species